ACCUCACUGCAGAAUGUGACAGUGGUGGGUACCAGAACUCAGCAUGCAGUGCUGGCUCUUGCUGCUCACUGUGCUGCUCGGGGCCGUGCUUCCUCUGCCCUUGCGCCAAAGCUAUUUUGUCCCUGAAGACUUCUCUGCCCCCUUGGAACUCCCACAGCAGCACUUUGGCUUGGUGGAUGAUUAUGGCAUUAAACCAAAACAGCCUCACUUCAGGACCAUAGCACCCCGGGAGCAGCCAGCAGGACUGCAGAGGGCUGGCAAAACCAAACGUGAUGAGCUUGACUUGGAGUACUACUAUGAUGCCCAGCUGUGAAGGACAGCAGGGCACUCAGCUUCUGUGUCUUCAUCCUGCAAGAGUCUGACUCUGCCACUGCAUUAGACGUCACCCCUGAGGGAUGUGACGGGAAGCUGAGCCAUGGUCACAGCGAGAUGUUUUCACCCCAGCCUGCAUCAGAGAAGGGCUGGAGAAUGCCAGCCCCUCCAGCAAUCACAGACUGGGCAGCCAAUGGGCACUUCUCAAAUAGAAUAAACUAAGUAUUUUGUACAAUAAA